rnacentral:rRNA from 1 species
UGGAGAGUUUGAUCCUGGCUCAGGACGAACGCUGGCGGCGUGCUUAACACAUGCAAGUCGAACGGAAAGGCCCUUCGGGGUACUCGAGUGGCGAACGGGUGAGUAACACGUGGGUGAUCUGCCCUGCACUUUGGGAUAAGCCUGGGAAACUGGGUCUAAUACCGGAUAGGACUACGGCCUGCAUGGGUUGUGGUGGAAAGCUUUUGCGGUGUGGGAUGGGCCCGCGGCCUAUCAGCUUGUUGGUGGGGUGAUGGCCUACCAAGGCGACGACGGGUAGCCGGCCUGAGAGGGUGUCCGGCCACACUGGGACUGAGAUACGGCCCAGACUCCUACGGGAGGCAGCAGUGGGGAAUAUUGCACAAUGGGCGCAAGCCUGAUGCAGCGACGCCGCGUGGGGGAUGACGGCCUUCGGGUUGUAAACCCCUUUCAGCACAGACGAAGCGCAAGUGACGGUAUGUGCAGAAGAAGCACCGGCCAACUACGUGCCAGCAGCCGCGGUA